AACCCCCAGCUAGGCUGGGGGGGCCGGAAAGCUUUCAGCUUUAAGCCAGUUAUUAAAACCCCUUUUGAUUUGUUAAAAC
rnacentral:sRNA from 1 species